UGAUCACUUCACAGGACCAGAGGGUCAGCAGCGAUGGCAUGAAGGCUGCAGCUGUUGCUGUGGUGCUAGGGCCACACUCUUCUCUUUGCCAGCCCUCUCUCUGGUCCUAGCAUUAAUCACAGCAGCACCAGCUGAGAAGAGAAGAAGAUGCUAGGUCUUGUGCUGGCACUUCUGCAGUCUGUGGAAUUUGAGCACCUGGGUUUGAGUCCAGGCUCUCCUGCUUCAGAGUUGUGUGACUCUAACUUUCACCUCCCUAAGGCUGUUUUCUCCUAUGUGACAUGCUGUUCUCAUCACCUCACGCUGAUUCCCAUCACCAGCCUUUGUUAUUUCUACUUCCCCGGCUCUCAUCCUGUCCAAAUUAACCACAUAUGUUAAGUCUGGAGCAGCUGAGCGCCAUGAGGAGCCCAUGACCAGGGGACAUCACACUAGGGCAAGGAGAGCAUCCUCAGAUGUGAACACAGAGAAGAGGGGAUACUAUCUGCUUAAAAACUACCACAAGAUUAUCAUCAAAGUGAACCAUAUGCAACAAAUCUGCAAGAUAACUUGCUGAUGCCUAUUUGAAACACUGCAAGAGAAGGCAAAUAUAUUCUGAUCUGUGGAAAUUCAGUCUAAGCCUACUCUGCUAUUUUCCUUAAGGCAACAGGGUUUAGUACUACUCUUCAUGUUUACUGUAAAAUGUAAUAUUGGUAACAAAUUAAAAGUUUUUAUGGGUACAUAUUUCUUCUUAAAAUAGAUCAUAUGAGGAAUGAGUGCAGAGGAAUCAAUCAA